AGUUUGUUGAAGAUGGAUAAUGCUGUCAUUUAAAAGCGUCCACGCGCCCUAAUUAAGUUAACUUAAUUACGUCACAUGACCUUAUGACCAAUCAGUGGCUUUGUUUCUCCCAAAGCGUCACUAAAGUCCCUCGUUGUAAGGUUCCACGUGGUGACUGUUACCGAGGGGGCGUGGCCACGUGUUGAUGGGAGGAGUCAUGGAAAUCAUGGAUUACUCAAUCAUGUUGCUGUGAGAAGGUUUCAUCUAGCCUGAAGUGGUGCACUUCUUCAUGCACAGUAGAAGCUCCAUGCGGAUAGCGAUGCGUGUGUGCCAGCCCAGAGGGAUGAUUCGGAGGUAGCGUGUCACAAUGGGAGGACGCAGCAGGUUCUGGACCGAAGAGGACCGAUCAGAAUUACCGUAAAACACCUGUGAAUGGAAGAGUGGUUAACAAUGUUGGUCAAUCCUUUAAAACUGGGCUCAUGAAUACCUUCCUCAGGCCUGUGUUUCAUAAGCAGUGCUUGAGCGAAGUAUAAUCCAAAUUCCUGUCAGUUUAGUAUAUGCAUUAGCGUUCCUAUUCUAACAGCUUAUUCAUAAGAACUAAUUAAACAUUAAAAAUGUAA